CCUACGGGAGGCUGCAGUAGGGAAUUUUCGUCAAUGGGCGCAAGCCUGAACGAGCAAUGCCGCGUGAACGAGGAAGGUCUUCGGAUCGUAAAGUUCUGUUGACGGGGAAAAAGAGCGGAGUGAGGAAAUGCUUUCUGAUUGCUAUUACCCUUCGAGGAAGUCCCGGCUAACUACGUGCGAGCAGCCGCGGUAAUACGUGGGUGGCGAGCGUUAUCCGGAAUGGUGGGGCGUAAGGGGUGCGUAGGCGGCCUGCUAAGCCGGGGGUGAAAGGUACCGGCUCAACCGGUACAGGCUCUUGAAACUGGCGGGCUAGAGAGCAGGAGAGGGCGGCGGAACUCCAUGUGUAGCGGUAAAAUGCGUAGAUAUAUGGAAGAACACCAGUGGCGAAGGCGGCCGGCUGGACUGUAACUGACGCUGAGGCACGAAAGCGUGGGGAGCAAAUAGGAUUAGAUACCCGGGUAGUC
rnacentral:rRNA from 1 species